GACGAACGCUGGCGGCGUGCUUAACACAUGCAAGUCGAACGGAAAGGCCCUGCUUUUGUGGGGUGCUCUAGUGACGAACUGGUAAGUAACACUUGAGUAACCUGCCCUUGCCUUUGGGAUAACUUCAGGAAACUUGGGCUAAUCCCGGAUAGGAUCUCCUGCUGCAUGGUGGGGGCUGGAUAGUUUCGGCGGUUGGGGAUGUACUCGCGUCGUAUCAGCUUGUUGGUGGGGUAGUGGCUUACCAAGGCUUUGACGGGUAGCAGGCCUGAGAGGGUGACAGGCCAAAUUGGGACGGAGAUGAGGCACAGACUACUACGGGAGGGAGCAGAGGAGAAUAUUGCACAAUGGGCGGAAGCCUGGUGUAGCAACGCCGCGUGGGGGAUGAGGGGCUUCGGGUUGUAAACCGAUGUCGCCUGUGACGAAGUGUGAGUGACGGUAAUGGGUAAAGAAGCACCGGCUAACUACGUG
rnacentral:rRNA from 1 species